rnacentral:lncRNA from 1 species
CCAUGGCUCCUACAAAGUGGACUGCUUGCAAAUGACCCAUAGUAAACUGCCCAGGAAGCAACUAGCUAAAAAUAACUAGCUACAAAUGCCUCUUGCGAGUGCACCCUCUACCGGAGGGGUAAAGAAACCUCACCGAAUGCUACAAAUGCCGCUUGCAAGUGCACCCUCUACUGGAGGGGUGAAGAAACCUCACCGCAAGCCUUAUACUGUAGUGCUUCAUGAAAUUAGAUAUUAUGAAAAGCCCAUUGAACUUCUGAUUCAAAAACUUCUUUCUAGCAUCUGGUGUGAAAAAUUUCUCAAGACUUCAAAAUAGGUCUGGGCUUCCAGAGUGCAGCUAUUGGUGCUUUGCAAGAGGCAAGUGAAGACCUAUCUAGUUAACCUUUUUGAAGGCACAAUCCUGUGUGUUAUCCAUGCCAAAAGUGUGACAAUUAUGCCAAAGUGCAUUCAACUA